UACAGAGGUCCCAAGCGUUGUUCGGAUUCACUGGGCGUAAAGGGUGCGUAGGCGGUCGGGUAAGUCUGAUGUGAAAUCUCACAGCUUAACUGCGAAACUGCAUUGGAUACUAUUCGGCUUGAGAGUUGGAGGGGGGACUGGAAUUCUUGGUGUAGCAGUGAAAUGCGUAGAUAUCAAGAGGAACACCAGUGGCGAAGGCGAGUCCCUGGACAACUUCUGACGCUGAGGCACGAAAGCUAGGGGAGCAAACAGG
rnacentral:rRNA from 1 species